GAUGAACGCUGGCGGCGUGCCUAAUACAUGCGAGUCGAGCGAACAGACGAGAGUGCUUGCACUCUCUGACGUUAGCGGCGGACGGGUGAGUAACACGUGGGUAACCUACCUAUAAGACUGGGAUAACUUCGGGAAACCGGAGCUAAUACCGGAUAAUAUUUAGCUUCGCAUGACGCAAUAGUGAAAGACGGUUCUGCUGUCACUUAUAGAUGGACCCGCGGUGUAUUAGCUAGUUGGUGGGGUAACGGCUCACCAAGGCAACGAUCCAUAGCCGACCUGAGAGGAUGAUCAGCCACACUGGGACUGAGACACGGCCCAGACUCCUACGGGAGGCAGCAGUAGGGAAUCUUCCGCAAUGGACGAAAGUCUGACGGAGCAAUGCCGCGUGAGUGAAGAAGGUUUUCGGAUCGUAAAACUCUGUUGUAAGGGAAGAACAAGUACGUUAGUAACUGAACGUACCUUGACGGUACCUUACCAGAAAGCCACGGCUAACUACGUG
rnacentral:rRNA from 1 species